GAUUUACAUAAUCACACUUGCAGGACGAGAGCUAGCUACAUUGCAUCACAUCUGUGUAUCGUAUUUGCCAGAACUUCAGGAGCUAUCGAAUAUACUCUCAAUCAAGAAGCUCGUCACAGUCACGGAUAUGUUGACCAAGCAUAAGCUGAAAUAUCGCGAGAUGAUCAGCUAAACCUCGAGUGAAUCAGAGCGAAACUAGCACUACCGUGGCAACUGCCGUUGCAAUACAGCUCUCAGUUCUAAGUACAUAUUAGUGUUCAACUUAUUAUAUAAACUAUCUUGAAAUAUGUGCACGUGCUAAAUUAUGCAGUGGAUUUAAUACAAAAAGUUAUCUACAUUCUUUCUAUAUACAUAUAAGCCGUAUAUUGAAUAUAACCAUAUAUGUAAGUUAAUACAUAAAUAUAACAUUAAUAUUAAACAGCUGGCACAAAAUAAUAGGUCAAAAUAUAAGUGAAUAUUCAUAAAAAACAUGGCAAGUAGCCAAGAUUUACUCAAAAUAUGAACAAAGAAUGAAAUUAUAAGAAAAUCAAUACGA